rnacentral:lncRNA from 1 species
GAAUACAAUGGUGCACAGACAGUCAAGAUCCUUUCUCUCCCGGUGCUUCUCUUCUAGAGAAGGGAGACUAACAAAUGCAUAAGAAACAAACAAGAUGAUUUUGGGCAGAGGUAAGUACUGUGAAGAAAAUAAAGUGAUAUGACAGUGAGUGUUAUGAAGAGGUGGGGUACUUUAGAGGUGGUAGGUAAGACUCUUUUUUUUUUUUUUUUUUUUCGAGAUGGUGGAGUAAUGAGAAAAAGAGGAGAAUCAAGGAUGACUCCUAGGAACUUACUUUUGAACAAUUGGGUGACAGAUGCAGUAGAUUUAAAGAUACUGUUUGGGAACAUUUAAAACAUCUAUUAAACAGUAAGUGACAAAGUGGAGAAGUCAUUAGAUAUAUUAGUCUGGAAUUCAGGAGUGAGGUCAGAGCUGGAGAUGAGAAUUUGGGAGUAAGGUACUUAAAACCACGGUUGGCUGAAUAACAAUUCCCCAAAUAUGUCUACAGCCCAAUCCUUGGAACUGACAAAUACUGCAAAAGGGACUUUGCAAAUGUGAUUAAGUUAAGGAUCUUGAGAUGAGGAGAUUAUCCUGGAUAGCUGGGCAGUCCCAUGUAGUCACAACAGUCCUUAUAAGAGGGAGGACUGGCCGGGUGAGGUGGCUCAUGCCUGUAAUCCCAGCACUUUGAGAGGCAGAGGCAGGCGGAUCAUGAGGUCAGGAGUUAAAGACCAGCCUGGCCAACAUGGUGAAACCCCGUCUCUACUAAAAGUACCAAAAUUAGCCAGGCAUGGUGGCGUGGGCCUGUAGUCUCAGCUACACUGGAGGCUGAGGCAGGAGAAUCACUUGAACCCAGGAGGCAGAGGUUGCAGUGAGCCGAGAUUGCGCCACUGCACUCCAGCUUGGGCAACAGAGUGAGACUUCAUCACAAAAACAAAAACAAACACAAACAAAAAAAGAGGGAGGACAGAGAAGUUAGAAUUGGAGAAGGUGAUGUGGUAACAAAAGCAGAGACUGGAGUGCCACAAUUUAAAGAAGGAGGAAGGGGUUACAAACUAAAGAAUACAGAUGGCCACUAGAAGCUGAAAAAGGCAAGAAAAUGGGUUUUCCCCUCAGUGCCUCAUAAGGAAUCAACCCUGUUGAAACUCUUGACUUUGGCCCAGAAAGACCCCUUUUGGACUUUUGACCCCCAGAAAUACGAGAGAAUAAAUUUGUGUGGUUUUAAGCCACUAAGUCUGUGGCAAUUUGUUACAGCAGCAAUAGGAAACAAAUAGAGCCAUUAAAAUUAGAUAAGAUCACCUAGAAAGACUGUGGAUAAAGAAGAGAAGAGGGCUGAAGACUGAAUCCUAGAGCACUGCAGAAUUGAAGAGUGAAGUCCAGGAGGAGGUAAGUCUGUGAAGAGUACCAAUGUCCUAGGAGGAAAACUAAGAAAGUGUGAAGCCAUGAAAACCAAAGGAAGAGUAUCAAGGCAAGAAGAGUGGUCAAUUGUGCUGAAUGCUUCUGAGAAGCAAAUUAAGAUGAGGCGGAAGAAAUGGCCAUUGCAUUUGGCGAGACAGAGGUUGUUUGAUCUUGUCAAGAGAAGUUCUAAUGGUGUGUAGAUUUAGGAAGAUUCUUAAGAUAGUUGAAGAGAGAAUGGGAAAUGAGGAUGUGGAAAUUCUAAGUCCAAACAAACUGAGUAGUUUUCUGAGAAGAAGAAUGAAGAAAUGGAGGAGAAUGUGCAGCUAGAAGAGUUUUGUGGUUUAUUUAUUUAUUUUUUUUUUUAGACCAGGGGGUCUCACUCUGUUGCCCAGGCUGAGUGCAAUGGCACGAUCUUGGCUCACUGCAACCUCUGACUCCAGGGUUCAAGCAAUCUUCCCACCUCAGCCUCCUGAGUAGCUGGGUCCACAGGUGCAUGCCACCACAGCCCACUAAUUUUUGUAUUUUUUGAAAAGACUGAGUUUCUUCAUGUUGCCAAGCUGGUCUCGAACACCUGGGCUCAAGUGAUCCACCUGCUUCAGCCUCCCAAUGUACUGGGAUUACAGGCGUGAGUUACUACGCCUGUCUUGUGUUUACUUUAUUUAAAAAAUGGGAGACAGAGUAGUGCACGUUUAUACUCCACUGGGAAAGAUCCAAUAGAGAAGGAAAAAGUGGCGCAACAUAGAGAGUGAAUAACUGCAGGAAUCUUCAAUGAGGAAAGAGAGGUUUACUCAUGCUGGCCUUGAAUGGGAGCAGUCUUUUUCCAUUGUUACAGAAGAAAGGCAGAGAGUAUGGAAGAAUACGGAUACAGAUGCAGGCAGGUUGAUAGAUCUGAUGACAUGAAGAUGAGACAGCUUCUGAUUGCGUCUACUUUCUUUUUUUUU